GUCUUGAUUCAUUGGUUACCCAGGGGGAUCGUUUGCUGCUGACUCGCCUGGUCCUAAGUGGUGCAUGCCUGUCAAUUACAUUCAUCAAUAAAUCUUUCCAUGUUGCCCACAUUACAUUUGGGUCUUCAUAGUGGUGGACAUUUUCCCAAGGUUGUUGUCCCAGUUCGCUUAGAAAACUAUCUCUAUUAAACGUUUUCAUUGAUCUAGUCUCUAUGUUUCUUGUCCCUGUCUGUACAUAAUGUGCUUUGCGUAUAAUAUAGACCAUCGAGUGGUCACUAAUUGAAAGAUGAAUUACACCAGAAUCAACAGUUGUUGAUAAUGAGUU
rnacentral:lncRNA from 1 species